CUAGCUUCUCCCAAGAGAGUGAAGUGAGGCAUCCUCCAUUAGCUCAGUGAACUGAAUAUAACCAUCUGUGAAAGAAGAUGGCUUCCAACAGGUGAAAUGAAACAACUGUCACGUUGAGGGAGGACUCAAGAUAAUGCCUUUGGAACACCAAGGCAAUAUGCUUGGACAGAACAUCUGUGUCGAAGCAUCUGAUUGAAAUGACAGAAAUUCCAGUUGAAAAAACGAAACGAAAGGAAGGGAG